AGGAAAUGAGACUGGAGAAAAGGAGGAUCAAAGAGAGGCGCCAGAACCGGACUCCUUGCUCGCCGGAUCGCCUAGAGUUUCACGUUCGCAGCUCAAUGCCGUCCUCGCAGUGGCUUUAUUCCUCUCCAAGUGUACUGUAUCCGCCGAUAACAGAUCACAAUCUAUUGUUCUUAGUUUUUACGUGCGAUUCCGUCGUCGUUUAGUCAAUCGUUUUGGCCCCAGUCGUUCUGCUUAGACUCGAUCGCAUCGUUCUACGUCGAAUUAUUGGAUACGUGUCAAAAGCGGCGGAGUUGUCGCCGGAUUUCGCCUAGGAGAUUGCUGAUUACGUUGGUGAGGUCGUUAUGACGGGGAUCAAUAACAAUGUGAGUGAGAAUUUAGCUAUUUCCAGGGCUUUUUUGCUGGCUCUAACGCAGAAUUCCCCGCCAAUUGUGUAGUCCGAUGCGGAGAAACUGGUGACAUGCCUUCUCGAUCAGUUAAGUGUGCCCGUGCAGGUUCCGGCUUCUCCUAAGUGAACCAAUUAAUGUAAAACCUGAAACGUCGUCGUCUCAGAGUUCGCCGUUAAACAACGUGAACAAUCACAAUUAUAAUCCCAGCAAUGAAAUUUCAAGUCCCGUGAAUGAUUUGAGCCACUUUUCAGGGCCUUCCAGCGCCAGUGUGGUGUCGUCAAUGUCAGUGGUGUUAACGGUAGCAAUGUAAUGUGGAAGAGUGGUUUUGAUUCUAUGGGAAUGAGUUUUGAUUCAGUGGAGGCGGCGGUUCAAUGAGCUUUUGAAGAACCUGAUUCAAUUGCAAAAAAGCAGCUACAAUAUUUAUCCGCAUUUCUAAAGAAGAGGAAGCGGGAUUGGACUGAACAGGGGCAAGGGCAACUCUUAAAAUCUAGAGUCAAUGCAAAACUGUCUGUUUAUCAAGCUGCAGGCAGGAUGAAACUUAAAUGUCUUGCAUCUAUUGAUGAAGAUGGGAACACUACCAAGAGGUUGGUGCUUGAGACUCUUGCAGUAAUGAUAGAUGCUGCAGCCGCAGAAGCAUGCUUGCUAUCUUUGUGGCGAAAGUUGAUAGGUUGUGCAGAGCUUUUCAGUUCCCUCCUUACUGGCACUGAGCAUAUUGCUGUCACUAAAGGAGGUCAGCCAUUGCAUGCUGCUUAUUCGACUCAAAUCUCUUGGGCUGCAUAGGUAUCAGUUAUGGGUUGACAAGGAGAAGCAGGGAGUUCCGGCUGUGCAUCUUAAUGUCAUACAUCUACUAGCCAAUUUGACUGUUGCUGUUAAUAACUCUGAAGUGGUAGACAAGAUACUGCCACUUUUUAUUGAAAGCAGAGAAGAGGGUGAUGCUUCAACUCCUGAUUUAUUACGACUCUGAGUAUGGAAUCUUUGUCUUCUGAGAUUUUUCACAUUUUGUAUCAUUUGCCCCCUUCCUUUUUUACAUCUUUAUUAAUUACAAUUAGUGAUUCUUUUUCCAUCAAGUGUAUCAAUUAUUAGAUGGUCUUAUUCUAUAUUCUCUAACAGUAAUCUAUCUCAAUGGUUUCUAAACCAAAAUUUCUGAGUUUAAAAUUUUUUAGUUUCUGAUUUAAGCUAUAUUCCAAUAAUUUAUGCUUUCCUUCAAAGGGUUGGAGAUGAUUGUCAACAAGAUGUCCUUUCUCUUCAAGUGAUACUGUGAUACCACUACUUAGAGACAUAUUUGAAGCUGUUGGACUUAAUAUUUAUUUAUUUCCUUGGAGUUCUUCCAACUGGCCCAGAGAGAGGUAUUAUUGAAGUGAGCUUUUAUCUUCAGCCAUUCAUUUAAUCCAUAUACUACGAGGAAUUGAAGCAAGAUUUUGAUACACUGCCUAGAGUGGAUGUGUGUAUGACUUGGAGAGAUUUUCUUUGUUGAGCCAUAGCAAAAUGUAGCAUGGUCAUGUAAAAUAUAAAUGCGAUUGUAGAAUGAUAGUCUUAUGAUUCAAGUUUUACAUAUCUAAAUGUCAGUUGAUGCAUAAAAUGCCCAAUUAUAAAUUAUAGUAGACUACCAACUUGAAGAUAAUAAGUAACUGGAGUGCCCUGGGGGACAAAAAAGUAUUUGCUUGUGAUCUACAUUAAACGGGUUAAGACAUUUGUGGUUUAUUUUGGAAAGGUCAGGUUGCAGUGAUUUCCUUUUUGAAAAUGUUCCAUUUAGGUAGAAUGUGGUGAACUGGAAUUUGCCAAUGGUGGUGAAGUUUAUGGUAACUCUGGUAUGGCAUUUGUGCACAUUGUGUCCCUAUGUUCCCAUGACCUCCAUUAUGCAAGAUUACCAGAUUACAUUUCUUCUUGUAUUUUACAAUGAUACAAUCUACCUUCAGGCUUUGCAAUUGAGUUCAUUACUCAUUGGAAUUUAAGAGGAAUUUAGGUGAAGAAUUAUAGAGUUGCUCAUGAUUCUUUAUUUGAGAAUUUUUUGGUUUUAUUGUUCUUGGAAUUUAUUAAAUUUGUUACCUAAUUUACAACCAAGUUCAUGUAAGCCUAUUACUCUGUCCAAUGUUUCAAGUAAAUCAAUGAAAGAAUAUUUAAAUUAUUGGACUUUCUUCCCCACUUUAGAUGUUUUCAUGUGGAAAGUUUGUUCAGUUGAUCUAUAUGAUUUGAUUGGUGCUCGAUGCCAAAUUUGGCCUACUUCAUAAUCUUACCAGCUUGAUAAAGCAUGGUUUAUAACUGGUCCCAGUUAUGAUCUACCUUCUUUUCUUUCAAAAUUACCCUGAUUAUUCAUAUCUCAUGUGGAUUGGUGUAAAGGUUGGACAAGCUUGUUCAGGCCCAAAACAGGCCUCAUCCUUUCAGGAGGUAAAAUGCCAUGCAGCCUGGUUCUGGGUGAGGCUAUGCCAAAUGCAAGUCAUAUAUGUUAGCAAGAUAUAAAUAUAACAUUAAAACAUGUUGAGGAAAUAAAAGGAUGCAAAUAUAACUCAUAAUGUGAAAUCAUGAUUGACUAUCUUUUGAUGUGUGGCAAGAUCAAGCUAGCAUUGUAAAUUAUCUCCUCUGUGCAAAUGGAUCAUCUGUAUUAUCGUAUUCGCAUGUUCAUUUCUUAGUAGCUAUUUUUAACAUUACA
rnacentral:misc_RNA from 1 species